rnacentral:pre_miRNA from 11 species
UUUCCUGAAUUUGCCAAAUGAGUGAAGGUCUAGUGCACAGAAAAUGAAAUUGUGACUAGAUCCACACUCAUUAAGUACGUUCAGGU